GUACUUUAGGAAUCUUAUUUAGUAUCAUUUAAAUUGGGGGAGGAGGGAAGAUGUUUUACUGCUAGCUUCAUUUUAUUUAUUUUUAUUUUUAUUUUUUUAAGUUUUUUUGAGAUGGAGUCUCACUCUGUUGCAGUGAGCCGAGAUUGUGCCACUGCACUCCAGCCUGGGCGACAGAGCAAGACUCCGUCUAAAAAAAAAAAAAAGAUAUUAAAAUUAAUGACAGGAAGAGUUUGGGUUCAGUUAUAAUUUAAGGGAAAAAACAUUGAGGGGCCUAAUCUACAUUUUGCUCCGGAUCCAAUGAUUUAAUUUUUGGGAAGAAAAAUCCAGUGAUUAAAGUCAUGCAAGGAGAUGGCCUGGGGCUUGCUAAAAGUCAGGUUGCAGUUUCCAUUGCAUUCAAGAAAAUCAGAAAAAUAAAUACAACUUUUAGAAGAAACUAAGUUUUCUCCCAUUCAUGUUUAGCUAUUGGGGGGUCUCAUACUUCUGGACUUGCUUAGACCUAUGCUAUCUAAUAUGGUAGCCUCUGCCCAUCCAUAUGUGGCCACUGAGAACUUGAAAUGUGACUAGUUUGAAUUAAGAUGUGCUGUAACUAAAAUACACCCUGGAUUUCAAAGACUUAAUAAAUAAUGUAAAUU
rnacentral:lncRNA from 10 species